rnacentral:lncRNA from 1 species
UUUGCUAUCUUAAUACUAAUUUGAAUAAGUAAAUCAGAAUAGGUUAAAACCAAAAUUAAAAAAAAAAAAGAUUAAAGUAAGAUGGUCUGUUGGACUACUAAUUAAACGAUGGAGGAAUCAAAAAUAAACCCUAGCCGCCUGGCUGUUGGGUUUCCAAAGGAUUAUGGUUUGGGAACACCAAAAAAUAAUACAUUAAUAUGCA